AUUGAACGCUGGCGGCAUGCCUUACACAUGCAAGUCGAGCGGUAACAGGUCUUCGGAUGCUGACGAGUGGCGAACGGGUGAGUAAUACAUCGGAACGUGCCUAGUAGUGGGGGAUAACUACUCGAAAGAGUGGCUAAUACCGCAUGAGAUCUACGGAUGAAAGCAGGGGAUCGCAAGACCUUGUGCUACUAGAGCGGCCGAUGGCAGAUUAGGUAGUUGGUGGGAUAAAAGCUUACCAAGCCGACGAUCUGUAGCUGGUCUGAGAGGACGAUCAGCCACACUGGGACUGAGAAACGGCCCAGACUCCUACGGGAGGCAGCAGUGGGGAGUUUUGGACAAUGGGCGCAAGCCUGGUCCAGCAAUGCCGCGUGCAGGAUGAAGGCCUUCGGGUUGUAAACUGCUUUUGUACGGAACGAAAAGCCCCGGGUUAAUACCCUGGGGUCAUGACGGUACCGUAAGAAUAAGCACCGGCUAACUACGUGCCAGCAGCCGCCGUAA
rnacentral:rRNA from 1 species